GAUACCACAGUCACUCUCAUCAAAUCCAUCUAGCACGACCACUGUUAAUGACCCUUGUAAUACUGAGGUGACCACAGUUACUGAAGAGACCAUAGUAAAUGAUGGAUAUAUUGAAGAUGACAACAGCAAUUACUCUCAAGACAUAUUUACUGUGGAAUUGUCAGACGGAAGUACACCUGUGUCAACACCAUCACCUCUAAGUGAGCAGCCUUAUGCUUCAGCCAGAAAGAGGCGUAGGAAGGAGACUGAGGAUGAAUUAGCCACCUCAACAUUGUCAGUCUUAAGAGACAUUAGAGUUUCAAUUAGUGGCAGUAAUGAAGAUGACAAGUUUGGUCAGUAUGUUGCUGCUGAACUGAAGAAAUUUAAAAAUCCAGCAAUUAAGGCUGAUGUAAAAUUGAAUGUCAUGAAAUGUAUCAUGGAUGGCAUCCAUAAAGAAAUCUGUAACUGAUUUUAAAGUUAAGGCAUUGCAUUACAUUGUUGAGUCAUUUUUAAAUAAAAGAUUGCCUUUUGUACAUUAUUACUGUUAAAAGUUGUACUUCUUAAUGGCUUCCCACUGCCAUGAAACAUAACCUGUUGUACUAAAGAAUUCACAAAAUUUUUCGCGCACUUCCCUGGCACACAGUGACGUGCGAUUUCCACUCUGCUGGGGUAUGCUAGAGAGAGAUUUCUCUCCUCGCCAGGAACCAUUGUUUAUGGUGCACAAGUCUGUGUUUUCUGUAUCAGCAGCUGUCACAUAUGUGGUGUCUGCCUCUUCAAUCAAGUAGUUGUGCAGUAUGCAUAAAGUCUGAACAAUUAAUUCCACUUUCUCAACAGGUAGUCGCAUUGUACU